GGGGGGGGGGGGGGGGGGGGGGGGGGGGGGGGGGGGGGGGGGGGGGGGGGGGACGCUCUUCCGAUCUCUGUGCCAGCGCUCCGCGUUCGGUUGUGUUCUCGUUGCGCCGUGUGCUGUGGCAGGAAAAGGCGGCUGGAUCCAGGCUGGGAUUCCCGCUGGAAGCGGUGCCGGUGGUUCGGAGGGACGGGCUGGGGCUGCUCCCGGGGUUCGGUCCGGGUUAUCCCGACAUAAAUACAACCACAAAACACAAACACGAACUCAGGGACCUGCCGGCUGCCCUGGGUAACCUGCCCGGGGAGCUGCGGGAGUCACUGCCCCUGCAAGUGUCCACGAUGUCCGAAUGUGGCACUCGGGACCCGGGAGGGAUUUCUGGGGGUGCUGGGGGGGGAUUGGGCUCGGUGAGCCCCAAGGUCUGUCCCAGCCUCGGUGGUUCUGGGCCCGUUCCUGCAGAGCAAACUGGGAAUGGGUACUGGGAAUGGGAGCUGGGAAUUGGCUCUGGGAGAGGGCACCGGGAAUAGGAACUGGGAAUGGCUACUGGGAUUGGGAACUGGGAAUGGUCUUUGGACACCCAACACCUGCAAACAGGAGAAGGAAGCGCUGGGAGCUGUGCCAGCAGCUGGCUCUCACUUCACCGUCCCUCCACAUCUGGAUUUCCAGAUUCGGUUCCAGCUACAGCUCUGGCAUCGCUGAUUUUCCCCCAUUCAGUGACACAACUGAAACCAGCCCGGUCCAAACCACGACCCUUCUUUCUGAUGAAAGAGAAUACCCAUCCACCUCAUCAACAAAGAACAUGUUUUGACAGCUCUGCAAUCACCAAACACCAAAUUCAGCCUUUAAAAGAAGCUUCUCACUGCCACGAGUCACAGGGAAAGCGCUCUGCUCUGCACAGCUCUGCAGCAUCAAACCAUCCACUUCUUCUUUCCAAGAGAACAACAUUAAUCUCAAUUGUGGGCUAUUGAUCUGUGCAUUUUAUCACACACUCUCACAUUAUCAUCUCUGACAAACUGGACUAUUUGAGUUAUUUUAUCAAUUUAAAGGGGGGGAGUGGGAGGUAUA
rnacentral:lncRNA from 12 species